rnacentral:lncRNA from 1 species
GGAAAUCAAGAGCCAUGAUUUGGCAGCUUCCCCAGGAGAGAGUCCGGAAAGACCAGGGACAAUGAAAGUGGAGGAGCAGCCAGGAAAGGAGAAGCCACUGUGUCUGCAGGACAGGGGCUCCCAGAGCAAAGGGGAGAUAAAGGGGACACCUGUGACCUCAGGGAGGACACUGCACAUGGCAGGGACACCAUUUUAGCACAACUGGGUGUGUGAGGAGAGGGCACUGUGAGAAGUCAAGUGCCUGGAGCUGUGGCAGAGAAAGAGGCAGCAUCUGCAAGAGCUGAAGGUGUGAGAUCAUGGUCACUGGCUCCUGCUGCAUGUCAGCGUCUCCCUGUCACCCAGGCCCGCCCCAUCGCCAGGUGGCUUUGCCAGGUAACUCUCUGCUUCCCCCUGGUGGCCGCUCCACACUGUGGGCUGGGGGCUCAGGGACUUCCUGGGUCUAGGUGUGGAUUCAGAACCUGCUGUUCAGGUCCCUGAUGCCCUGAUCCGAGGACUGCUGGUCCCAGGGGAGGAACACCUCUUCUCUGUGUGGCCCCUGCCUGACUCAAGAUCAGGUACAAGGGGCUCAGCUUACCCAAUAAAAUACAAAAGUAUAUAUGUAGAAACA